AGAUUGAACGCUAGCGGGAUGCUUUACACAUGCAAGUCGAACGGCAGCGCGGACUUCGGUCUGGCGGCGAGUGGCGAACGGGUGAGUAAUAUAUCGGAACGUGCCCAGUAGCGGGGGAUAACUACGCGAAAGCGUGGCUAAUACCGCAUACGCCCUACGGGGGAAAGGGGGGGAUCGCAAGACCUCUCACUAUUGGAGCGGCCGAUAUCAGAUUAGCUAGUUGGUGAGGUAAAGGCUCACCAAGGCGACGAUCUGUAGCUGGUUUGAGAGGACGACCAGCCACACUGGGACUGAGACACGGCCCAGACUCCGUACGGGAGGCAGCAGUGGGGAAUUUUGGACAAUGGGGGAAACCCUGAUCCAGCCAUCCCGCGUGUGCGAUGGAAGGCCUUCGGGUUGUAAAGCUAGUUUGCGAGGAAGAACGGCGUCG
rnacentral:rRNA from 1 species